GACAGAGGGUGCAAACGUUGUUCGGAAUUACUGGGCGUAAAGCGCGUGUAGGCUGCUCGGAAAGUCGGAUGUGAAAGCCCUGGGCUCAACCUAGGAAGUGCAUUCGAAACUUCCAAGCUGGAGUGCUGGAGAGGAAGGCGGAAUUCUCGGUGUAGAGGUGAAAUUCGUAGAUAUCGAGAGGAACACCGGUGGCGAAGGCGGCAUCCUGGACCGGUAUUGACGCUGAGGCGCGAAAGCCAGGGGAGCAAACGGG
rnacentral:rRNA from 1 species